ensembl:lncRNA
UUUUAAAACAAAAGGUGACUUGAGGGUGUUUUUCAGGCUUUAUGACACGUCUGAUUUGGUGUGGCAGCAGAUGGCACCUGGAUACUUGACCUUUAACCAAAAAAGUUUGCGUGAUCAAAUCCCUGAGCCAGCAAAAUCAACCCCUCCUUGAGCAGGACUAUUAGCCCUUAUCGCUCCUGUAAGUCCGUGUAGAUAAAUGCUGUCUUAAUGUGUGAAAUGUAGACUGUCCACUUCUCUUUUUCCAGAAGGGGGCGCUUGAUCGCUCUCACACCCAGUACUGGACUGUAAAGGAAUUUUCAUUGGGAGCGCACCUUGAACACUGUGGGUCAAUUGGUCGGGUCGACUACUAAGGUGGUGGGUUUGACACCCACGGGGGCCAGUGCUAAUGUUGUGGGUUUGACACCCACGGGGGCCAGUGCUAGGGUUGUGGGUUUGACACCCACGGUGGCCAGUGCUAGGGUUGUGGGUUUGACACCCACAGGGGCCAAUGCUAGGGUUGUGGGUUUGACACCCAUGGGGGCCAGUGCUAGGGUUGUGGGUUUGACACCCACGGGGGCCAGUGCUAAUGUUGUGGGUUUGACACCCACGGGGGCCAGUGCUAAUGUUGUGGGUUUGACACCCACGGUGGCCAGUGCUAAUGUUGUGGGUUUGACACCCACGGGGGCCAGUGCUAGGAUUGUGGGUUCAAGUAAACUUAAGCAGUGUCUUGAUAAUGUGAACAU